rnacentral:rRNA from 1 species
GAUGAACGCUCGCUACAGGCUUAACACAUGCAAGUCGAGGGGCAGCAUGAACUUAGCUUGCUAAGUUUGAUGGCGACCGGCGCACGGGUGAGUAACACGUAUCCAACCUGCCGAUGACUCGGGGAUAGCCUUUCGAAAGAAAGAUUAAUACCCGAUGGCAUAGUUCUUCCGCAUGGUAGAACUAUUAAAGAAUUUCGGUCAUCGAUGGGGAUGCGUUCCAUUAGGUUGUUGGCGGGGUAACGGCCCACCAAGCCUUCGAUGGAUAGGGGUUCUGAGAGGAAGGUCCCCCACAUUGGAACUGAGACACGGUCCAAACUCCUACGGGAGGCAGCAGUGAGGAAUAUGGGUCAAUGGACGAGAGUCUGAACCAGCCAAGUAGCGUGAAGGAUGACUGCCCUAUGGGUUGUAAACUUCUUUUAUACGGGAAUAAAGUGAGGCACGGGUGCCUUUUUGUAUGUACCGUAUGAAUAAGAAUCGGCUAACUCCGUG